rnacentral:rRNA from 1 species
AGAAUCAACGCUGGCGGCGUGCCUAACACAUGCAAGUCGAACGAGAAAGUGGAGCAAUCCAUGAGUAAAGUGGCGACCGGGUGAGUAACACGUGACUAACCUACCUUCGAGUGGGGAUAACCUCGGGAAACCGAGGCUAAUACCGCAUAACAUCGCAAGAUCAAAGCAGCAAUGCGCUGGAAGAGGGGUCGCGGCUGAUUAGCUAGUUGGCGGGAUAAUGGCCCACCAAGGCGAAGAUCGGUA